rnacentral:rRNA from 1 species
AUUGAACGCUGGCGGCAUGCUUUACACAUGCAAGUCGAACGGCAGCACGGGUGCUUGCACCUGGUGGCGAGUGGCGGACGGGUGAGUAAUACAUCGGAACGUGUCCUGAAGUGGGGGAUAACGCAUCGAAAGAUGUGCUAAUACCGCAUAUACUCUAAGGAGGAAAGUAGGGGAUCGAAAGACCUUAUGCUUUUGGAGCGGCCGAUGUCUGAUUAGCUAGUUGGUAAGGUAAUGGCUUACCAAGGCGACGAUCAGUAGUUGGUCUGAGAGGACGGCCAGCCACACUGGGACUGAGACACGGCCCAGACUCCUACGGGAGGCAGCAGUGGGGAAUUUUGGACAAUGGGCGCAAGCCUGAUCCAGCAAUGCCGCGUGAGUGAAGAAGGCCCUCGGGUUGUAAAGCUCUUUUGUCCGGAAAGAAAGCAAUCGGUUAAUACCCGGUUGUUCUGACGGUACCGGAAGAAUAAGCACCGGCUAACUUCGUGCCAGCAGCC